CGGCCUCGUCCUGCAUUCCGCCCUCCUCGUGCCUUACUUCUCCUGGAAGUACAGCCAUCGCCGCCACCACUCCAACACCGGCUCCAUGGAGCGCGACGAGGUCUUCGUCCCCAAGCCCAAGUCCGCCAUGCGCUGGUAUUCCACCUACCUCAACAACCCGCCCGGCCGCAUCCUGACCCUGGCCGUCACCCUCACCCUCGGCUGGCCUCUGUACCUCGCCUUCAAUGUCUCCGGCCGCGCCUACCCCCGCUUCGCCUGCCACUACGAUCCCUACGGCCCCAUCUACUCGGACCGGGAACGCGCCCAGAUCUUCAUCUCCGAUGCAGGCCUUAUGGCGGCCGUGUACGCCCUCUACCGCAUCGCCGCCAG
rnacentral:lncRNA from 1 species